rnacentral:rRNA from 1 species
CCUACGGGUGGCAGCAGUGGGGAAUAUUGCGCAAUGGGCGAAAGCCUGACGCAGCGACGCCGCGUGAGGGAUGAAGGUCUUCGGAUCGUAAACCUCUGUCAGGAGGGAAGAAGUGGCUAUAUGCGAAUAGUGUAUGACUUUGACGGUACCUCCAAAGGAAGCACCGGCUAAUUCCGUGCCAGCAGCCGCGGUAAUACGGAGGGUGCGAGCGUUAACCGGAAUCAUUGGGCGUAAAGCGCGCGUAGGCGGCUUUUCAAGUCAGAGGUGAAAUCCCACGGCCCAACCGUGGAACUGCCUUUGAAACUGUGAGACUUGAGUGUCGGAGAGGGGAGCGGAAUUCCAGGUGUAGGAGUGAAAUGCGUAGAUAUAUGGAAGAACACCAGUGGCGAAAGCGGCCACCUGGACGACAACUGACGCUGAGGUGCGAAAGCGUGGGUAGCAAACAGGAUUAGAUACCCUAGUAGUC